rnacentral:rRNA from 1 species
AUUGAACGCUGGCGGCAGGCCUAACACAUGCAAGUCGAGCGAGCGGCGGGCGUGUGAGUAAUGUAUGGGGAUCUGCCUGAUAGCGGGGGAUAACUACUGGACACGGUCUCUAAUCCCGCAUACCGUCAGAUGACCCAAUAUGGGAUUAGCUUGUAGGUGAGGUAACGGCUCACCUAGGCGACGAUCCCUAGCUGGUCUGAGAGGAUGAUCAGCCACACUGGGACUGAGACACGGCCCAGACUCCUACGGGAGGCAGCAGUGGGGAAGAUUGCACAAUGGGCGCAAGCCUGAUGCAGCCAUGCCGCGUGUAUGAAGAAGGCCCUAGGGUUGUAAAGUACUUUCAGUCGGGAGGCGUUACCGACAGAAGAAGCACCGGCUAACUCCGUGCCAGCCGCCGCGGUAAUAC